UCUGCAGUCCAGACCAGAUUGCUUUGCUUUCCCGGUUGUGGUUGGGACUCAACCCAUCUGCUUCAUCUUUCAGGGAUCCGAUUGGAAGUGGAAUGAUGGGUUUUCUUGGUGGACUCGUUGCGCUGGUACAACGGUAGUGGCGCGCACGCACGUCCUCCCUCCCACUGAUCAUCGGAGUUCAGCUCACUGCAGUAGCCACAGGGCUGCAGACCACUAAUCCCCCAUUUGCCCAUUUCUUCUUCCAGGUCACAGGGGGGAUUCGUGGACCAGUGGCAGUCUUCCAAGUUCAACACCCAACUAACACCUGCUCCUUCCUCCUCAAUGCUCAAUCACCAUCCCAUUAGGUCAAAGACAUUUUCCCCUCUUUCCAACUUGGGAUGGAGGCGGUGACCACCGUCUAUAUCGCCAUGUUGUUCAGGUCAGGCCAAUCUCCUUCCCCUCCUCAGCUCGAGAUCGGUAAAGCUGGCUGCCUUUACGUCACUUGCAACGGCAGAUUAUACAGCAGAGCACCAAUGGGGCCAGCCCCCAGUGGAGGCAGUUACAGUUAUGCUGUUGCUACAAUGUGCAUUUCUUGUUUCCAUUGAUAAAAGCAGAUGCUCAUUGGGGAAUAACCAUUGUUUCCGUGUGGUUGGAUCGGUGUGGGUUCUCUGCUUGAGGAUGAGGAGAACCCUUCGCCCACCAGAUAAAAUUUCAAUGCAUCACCGGUCUGGAAUCUGUGAAGACAUUUUUGGCAUUUGAUUUUGAAGGGGGACUUUUUUUGGCAAAAUUACUGGACAAGGGCCCAGAAGUGCAAAAACCUUGCCUGACGAAGGUUGGUCAAGCUUAGCUUGCAACAGAACAUGGACUCUUUGACAAGGAGAUCUAUUCGGCCAAUCCUCAGAGUAGCAGUAGCUCUCUCAUGCUGAGCUGUUCCCUCACCAGAAGCCAGAGGAAGAUUUGGAUUUGGAGGAAUGUGCGAAGCUUAAACUGAUAGUACUAUGCUUUUCUGGAAGAGAGCCAAUACUAGCUAGUUGACCAUAACUUUGACUUACAUGGAUGUAAAGAAAACACUGGACAUGAACACAAAUCCAAUUCAUGUGCAACCCGGUCUUUGUGUUCUUGUAACCAAUGAUGGAAAUUUACUUCUUUUUUUGCGCAUCUAAAAGAUGCAAGAUCGACGGUCGGUGAAGCAUGUUGGUAAUUUCUCUUUGUGAUGUAAAGAAAUAUGAUGAGUUCUCCUGCAAGGGGUGUGUUUGGUAAGUUUCAUAAUGUUAGAAACUACAGGUUUCUUGACCUGUAAUGAUGUUCAUUAUUUUCCUUCUGGGCAUGCUGUUAUCUUUGCAUCAAUGUGAUUUGACA